rnacentral:lncRNA from 1 species
AAUUCAUUAGAGUAAAAAUGUGGAAUCAAUUCUAUUCUAGAAUUAACAAUGACAGAAAGAAGCUUUGGUGGAAGGAAGUAGGAUGUCUGCUCAACCAGAGGUGAAAUAGGUCAGAGGGAACAGAGCUGGAGCCCAUGACAACAUCUCAGCAGUGAAAGAGUACAAGAAAGAACCACACACUGUCAUUGAUCUACCAUAGACUCAUGGCAGAGGAAAUCAUUGCAAGGUUCAGCACAUUGCAAGGUUCAGCACAUUGCAAGGGAAGACGUGAGGGGCAUAGAGGUAUACCAGUGGACAUCAAGAUUGCACAGUGUGAUGACGUGAGGUGGGAAAAGCCAACCCAUUUGCCUAUUCUCCUCAAAAGAGGAAGACUAAAGCUAGAAUAUCUAGCCAUUCAAUAAAGAUUAAUUUUCUACAUUAGC